rnacentral:rRNA from 1 species
GAUGAACGCUGGCGGCGUGCCUAAUACAUGCAAGUCGAGCGAACAGACGAGGAGCUUGCUCCUCUGACGUUAGCGGCGGACGGGUGAGUAACAGGUGGAUAACCUACCUAUAAUACUGGGAUAACUUCGGGAAACCGGAGCUAAUACCGGAUAAUAUAUUGAACCGCAUGGUUCAAUAGUGAAAGACGGUUUUGCUGUCACUUAUAGAUGGAUCCGCGCCGCAUUAGCUAGUUGGUAAGGUAACGGCUUACCAAGGCAACGAUGCGUAGCCGACCUGAGAGGGUGAUCGGCCACACUGGAACUGAGACACGGUCCAGACUCCUACGGGAGGCAGCAGUAGGGAAUCUUCCGCAAUGGGCGAAAGCCUGACGGAGCAACGCCGCGUGAGUGAUGAAGGUCUUCGGAUCGUAAAACUCUGUUAUUAGGGAAGAACAAAUGUGUAAGUAACUAUGCACGUCUUGACGGUACCUAAUCAGAAAGCCACGGCUAACUACGUG